rnacentral:rRNA from 1 species
CGCUGGCGGCGUGCCUAAUACAUGCAAGUCGAGCGAACGGACGAGAAGCUUGCUUCUCUGAUGUUAGCGGCGGACGGGUGAGUAACACGUGGAUAACCUACCUAUAAGACUGGGAUAACUUCGGGAAACCGGAGCUAAUACCGGAUAAUAUUUUGAACCGCAUGGUUCAAAAGUGAAAGACGGUCUUGCUGUCACUUAUAGAUGGAUCCGCGCUGCAUUAGCUAGUUGGUAAGGUAACGGCUUACCAAGGCAACGAUGCAUAGCCGACCUGAGAGGGUGAUCGGCCACACUGGAACUGAGACACGGUCCAGACUCCUACGGGAGGCAGCAGUAGGGAAUCUUCCGCAAUGGGCGAAAGCCUGACGGAGCAACGCCGCGUGAGUGAUGAAGGUCUUCGGAUCGUAAAACUCUGUUAUUAGGGAAGAACAUAUGUGUAAGUAACUGUGCACAUCUUGACGGUACCUAAUCAGAAAGCCACGGCUAACUACGUGCCAGCAGCCGCGGUAAUACGUAGGUGGCAAGCGUUAUCCGGAAUUAUUGGGCGUAAAGCGCGCGUAGGCGGUUUUUUAAGUCUGAUGUGAAAGCCCACGGCUCAACCGUGGAGGGUCAUUGGAAACUGGAAAACUUGAGUGCAGAAGAGGAAAGUGGAAUUCCAUGUGUAGCGGUGAAAUGCGCAGAGAUAUGGAGGAACACCAGUGGCGAAGGCGACUUUCUGGUCUGUAACUGACGCUGAUGUGCGAAAGCGUGGGGAUCAAACAGGAUUAGAUACCCUGGUAGUCCACGCCGUAAACGAUGAGUGCUAAGUGUUAGGGGGUUUCCGCCCCUUAGUGCUGCAGCUAACGCAU